AUAAAUAUAAUAAAAUAGAUUUUAAUAUUUUAUUUACAAUUAAUUUAGUCAAUGAUACAGUACAAUUAUUUCAAAUAUAACAAAUUAUCAUUUUUAUUUCAUAACCUUUACAAUAAAUAACAAAACCAAAAAGAGGAUCACAACUUGGGAAACAUGUUCACAACACUGACAUGGAACAAAAAGUUUCCAUAGUGCCUGUAGACUUCUUCAAAAAGUUGUUUGUUGUUUUUCUUAUAAUCUAAAAGUUAUUUUUCAUUAGUCUAAAAUAUGUUUUUCUAUAAUUGUAAUUUAUUUUUUUAAAUCCCAACUAUUAACUAGAAUUUCUCUUCAUGAGUGAAUAUAAAGAAGGAAACAUAUGGAAUAAAAAAGUGGAAAGGUAUUUUGAAAACUGGACAAGGUGUGCAUAUUUUUGGGAAAAAAUAAUAACUAAAUGGCCACAGUGAAAACUAUGGUUUUACUGUUAUGAUUUUUCAAUAUAUAAUUAUCUUAAAAUUAACUUUGGCAGACUUUAAAUAGAGCUUCAAUGCAAAUGACUGCCUGGUUGUGCAGUAUGCUCUCUGGACUUUUAUUAGGUCAAAUGUUAAUGGAUUUGAAAUCUGUCAGCAGCCAUUCCCAUUGUCCUUUGGGAAUUUUUUGCUAGGAUUUAAUUAUCUUCAGAAUCUGAAGGAACAUCCGAAAAAUUUAAAAAAUAUUACACAACAAACAUUUACUGGACUAGAUUCAAAUGUUUCUUCUUAUUCAGUUAUAAAGUUUAAUUAAAAAUACAAGUACAUGAACAUUUCACUACCGUCACAGUAAGUUUAAGAUAAAGAAAUAUUUGAAAUAUAAAAAUGAUUGAUGAUUGUAUGAAGCUCACAGGAAAGACUUGUUUACAAUUUUGAAGCAUUACAAGAAAUAAAAAAAAGAAA